UUGCUUUGACAGCACAUACACUAAAAUUGGAAUGAUACAGAGAAGAUUAGCAUGGCCCCUUGCAAGGAUGACACACACAUUUAUGAAACAAUCCCUAUUUUU
rnacentral:snRNA from 1 species